rnacentral:ncRNA from 1 species
CUCAUCAAGAGCGGUGGAGGGAAUGGCCCAGUGAAGCCGCAGCAACCAUUGCAGAUUAACCUCUGUAAAACGGUGCUAAGUCCUGCAGCACUCAGCUGCAAGAUGAGA